rnacentral:tRNA from 1 species
GCCCGGGUGGUGGAAUUGGUAGACACGUUGGACUUAAAAUCCAAUGAACAUUAGUUCGUACGGGUUCAAGUCCCGUCCCGGGUACAA